rnacentral:rRNA from 1 species
GACGAACGCUGGCGGCGUGCCUAAUACAUGCAAGUCGAACGCAGUGGGGACGGGUGAGUAACACGUGGGUAACCUCCCAUCAGGGGGGAUAACACUUGGAAACAGGUGCUAAACCGAUACUGAAGGAUGGACCCGCGGUGCAUUAGCUAGUUGGUGAGGUAACGGCUCACCAAGGCCACGAUGCAUAGCCAACCUUUUGUGGUCGGUGGCCACACCGUGACCGAGACACUGCCCAGAGGCCGACGGUAGGCAGCAUUAGAGAAUCUUCGGCAAUGGACGAAAGUCUGACCGAGCAACGCUGCGGGAAUGAAGAGGGUUUUCGGAUCGUAAAACUCUGUUGUUAGAGAAGGAGUCCCUACCCAGAAAGCUACGGCUGACUACGUGCCAGCAGCCGCGGUAAUAC